rnacentral:rRNA from 1 species
CGCGUAGGCGGCCUUCUAAGUCGAACGUGAAAUCCCUGGGCUCAACCCAGGAACUGCGUCCGAUACUGGAAGGCUCGAAUCCGGGAGAGGGAUGUGGAAUUCCAGGUGUAGCGGUGAAAUGCGUAGAUAUCUGGAGGAACACCGGUGGCGAAGGCGACAUCCUGGACCGGUAUUGACGCUGAGGCGCGAAAGCCAGGGGAGCAAACGG